rnacentral:rRNA from 1 species
GAUGAACGCUAGCUAACAGGCUUAACACAUGCAAGUCGGAGGGGCAGCGAGAGGAAAGCUUGCUUUCCUUGUCGGCGACCGGCGCACGGGUGAGUAACGCGUAUCCAACCUUCCCCUUACUAGAGGAUAGCCCGGCGAAAGUCGGAUUAAUACUCUAUGUUCUCCUUAGCAGGCAUCUAACGAGGAGCAAAGAUUCAUCGGUAAGGGAUGGGGAUGCGUCUGAUUAGCUUGCCGGCGGGGUAACGGCCCACCGGGGCAACGAUCAGUAGGGGUUCUGAGAGGAAGGUCCCCCACAUUGGUACUGAGACACGGACCAAACUCC